GCCUUAUGUAGCUUUUCCUCUGAUUUUCGUUUCCUCGUUCAUCGCGGGCCUUGCUCGUCGACCCAAUGCUUCACAUCUGCGGUCAUAUCCCAAAAGGGUUGCUGAUUGGCAAGGCAAUUUCUUGUGUGAUUCCGAUCAAUUUGGCCGAAUCUGAAAAGACUGUCAAAAUCCCAAUUGUUGGAAGCGUUGAUAUUCCUUCCUCGGAUGUCAAACCGGGUGAUUCGGGUGUUCAAUUGCUAUAGUACUUGGCUUGUUCCAGCGGAGAUUUCUGAUAAACGACGUGCUUCUUCUGUUCAGGUGUAUGCUUUGUUGGUUAGGGAUUAUCACAGAGUUCUAAAUCAUCUCAGAAUUCAGUCUUAAGUUUGUUCAGAAGAAUUUCAGAGCACCAGAUUUUUUAUAAUCAGCGUAGUAGAAGAAGGUGAAUGGAUACCAGAUGCGUGCAUCACAAAGGGUUUCUUGGUGAAGGAUCGGGAUAUCAUUACUUGCAUUCAUGCAUCAACCUGCUAUAUUGUAGCCAAACAUCUAAGGUCAAGAUUUCUUCAUCAACAUUUCAGCUUCGGCUGAACUUUACUUUUUCCGAUGUCUAUUUGAGCAUAAACUCUCGUGGUUUUGUUUUUUAUUUCUCCAAAAAGUUCUUAUAAACCUAUGAUCAACCCUUCUAUUAAGGGACGUGGGACUCCUUCUCCAACAAUCCUUAACCAUUUUCCGUACGAAAUAUGAGAUGCUAUGGGAGUGGAGCAAUAUUGGGAAUCUGCAUAUGCACCUAAUUCAGAACAUUCUACAAGUCGUUCUGUUUCAAGCCAACUUAUCAUCCAUCGACGUUGCAAAUUCGCAGCCAGUUGCUCAUACUGUGGUCGAAGCUACUUUGUUGCCGUAUGCAAACGCAUACUUGAACGGGUUGCAACUGCUCACUGUCCAUGGCUUCACGUUUCCAAAUACCGAUGUAAUCAGCUCCUGCUCGAAAAUUAUGGUGUAGCAGCGACGUUCGUAAAAAAGUUGAAUGGAAAUUUCA